rnacentral:rRNA from 1 species
GACGAACGCUGGCGGCGUGCUUAACACAUGCAAGUCGAGCGGAGCGGCGCACGGGUGAGUAACGCGGGAGUAACUGCACCCCCCUCUGGAAUAACAGAUGGAAACGGCAGCUAAUACCGGAUAGUGGGGGAUGACUCGCGUCCUAUCAGCUUGUUGGUGGGGUAGUGGCGUACCAAGGCGACGACGGGUAGCCGGCCUGAGAGGGCGACCGGCCACAAUGUGCUGCGGUACGGCCCAAAUGCCUACGGGAGGCAGCAGUGGGGAAUAUUGCACAAUGGGGGAAACUCUGAUGCAGCAACGCGCGGGCGGGAUGACGGCCUUGGGGUUGUAAACCGCUUUCAGCCAUGACGCGUUAGUGGCAGAAGAAGCACCGGCUAACUACGUGCCAGCAGCCGCGGUAAUUC